AGCUCCGGUGGUCUAGUGGUUUGAGCGUCAGCCUGGAAUGCGGGAGGGCGCGGGUUCGAAACCCAGACGAGUCA